CCUGAGAAACCCAAAAGAUCGAAUGGGGAGAUUCAUCGUCAGCGAUCCGGGCGCGUGUGCGGCUCGCGAUGUUCGCGCGGACUGCGGUCCGUGGCGGCACGCGUCCGCAUGUGUCUCAAUCCAUUGCCCGGUGUCGUCGGCGUGCACUUCUCCCCUAGUAGGACGUCGCGACCCGUUGGGUGUCGGCCUACGGCCCGGGGUGGCAGCCUGUCGUUUGUCGCGCUUCGCGGCGCGCAUGCGGCAGACCCCCGGUCGCCCGGGCGACUACCCGGCGGUACUCGCACGGUAUCGGGCCGCAGACAUUCGAACUGCGUCCGGCCCGCCGCAAGCGCGGCCAGCAUCCCGGUAGUUAAACGGACCAAGUCGCCGUCGCCGGGUCUGGCCAGCUGUUGGGUUGGCGGUGCCAUCGGACCGGCUCUCGGCGGGAGCCUCAAAACUCCCCCGCAAAUUGUGAUACCGGUCGGCGACGCUACUGCUUUGGGUACUUUCAGGA
rnacentral:rRNA from 1 species